ACAGACGGAAAUACAUGUGGAGACUGAACUUACUUCAUGUAAGUAGGGAAAAUACAGAGGAAAACACCAUCCUAAAAUAAAUACAUUUUCAAUCACUGCUUCCAGAACGGUGUCGAAACGUAUCGAAGGUGUUGGAGGAAGUUGAGAAGAUGUGACCUCUGGCUGACCUGCUGGCUGGACUGGCAAGUCGAGGCCCUUCACCCUCUCGCUUGUCCUUGAAAUGUAUCCUCUGCCCACAAUGGGAGCCAUGUUCAAGGUCACAGCCUUGAGAGAGUAAGGUGCUGGGACCAUCUGGACUGAAUAUGUGACUCAAUUCAGGUAAGGCCUUUGCAUAAACUCAAGAUUCUGGGCCCAAGUUCAGCCUCGGAUAUAAGUUCCUUGCUUAUUACACCACCACUUCCCAGCCUAGAGUAGCUGGUCCCUUUCCUCUAUCUCUCCUUGUUCUCCACGAACGGGGGCCAGUUUCGGAUUUCACCUGGGAAGCUCCUGAGGUCUCAGACCAAUAGAAGGACCCUUAAAACCUGGUUGUCUUUACAUCUAUCUCUCUGCAACGGUGAUUUUUGGACUGACUUGGACUCAAAGGUAUUUCCUGGGGCCACCCUAAGAACAUGGUUGAUCUCAAUUGUUUUAUUAGAAUGUCUGACUUUGGAGAGGAUGCUUCCCGUACAUGUACAAAGCACUAAGGCAUCAAGUGAGAAACACCUUCAGGAAAUGGACAUUGGUACACUGUAGGUGCAUAGCUCUAUGUGAAUUUUAAUUUUUUUUUUAAUUUUUUUUAUGGUGGCACCUGUGGCAUAUGGAAGUUCCAGGGCUAGGAGUCAAAUGGGAGCUGAAGCUGAGGCCUGCACCACAGCCAUGGCAACACCAGAUCCUUGACCCACUGAGACAAGGCUCGAACUGCAUCUUCCCAGAGAUAACAUUGGGUUCUAAACCUGCUGAACCACAAUGGGAACUCCAAUAAUCUAUGGAAUAUUUCCAUGACAGCUGCUAUGAACAAUGAUGUAUAGGUUUGUAUACAUAUAUAUUUUCAUUUCUCUAGGAUGAAUGCGAUUGCUGGGCCAUACGGUAAGUAUAUGUUUAGUUAGUUUUUUUUUUUUUUUUUAAAAGAAACUGUCCAACUGUUUUUCAGAGUGGCUAUAUCAUUUUAUCAUUUUCCAUCCUAGCAUGCUAUUUUUAUUUUUUAAAAAAUCAAGCAUCAACUCCUUAGGAAAGUGAUUCUUUUUUUUUUUUUAGGGCAUACCUGCGGCAUUUGAAAGUUCCCAGGCUAGUGGUUGAAUCAGAGCUGCAGCUGCCAGCGUACACCACAGCCACAGCAAUGCUGGAUCCAAGCCGCGUCUGCAACCUACACCACAGCUCAAGGCAAUGUCGGAUCCUUACCCUACUGAGUGAGACCAAGGAUCAAACCUGCAUCCUCAUGGAUACAAGUCGGGCUCAUUACCCCUGAGCCACAGCAGAAACUCCCAGGCAAGUGAUUCUUGAUACAGGUUUUUCAAGUGGGAAAUGUCAAUUUAUGCAUAGACUUGUAAUUAUUCUGUCUGACCACAUUCCAUUCCUUUUGCAAGGUAAAACAUCAUAAUUGAUGGAGAAAACUCAGAUCACAGUACAAGGCUUAUGGAGACUACAGAUACAGAGGCUAAGCUGGGUGGACAUAAGCAGGAAAGGACAUCUUAGACCUACAAUUGUUGACCUCUCUUUAUCAAGGUGGACACAACUUGUUCCGGCAUUUCUGAUCAUCAAGAGGCACUUUGUCAUCAAAGGGUGCUCAUCUUUCAAGAUGCUGUAACAAUUUUGAGUAUGAUCUUCUUGCCUUGCCGCAUUUAGGGUUUAGGAGCCCAUAUUUUAAAGUAGAAAGGGCAAGGAUGGAAGGUCACGGCAGGGACUCUCAGAGGCAAUAGUCAAAGUCAUAGAGUGGUGGGAAGAAAAUGAUCUCUCAGAGUCGCUUCUAUCGCUUUCCAUCUCUUUAACUGGCUUGUGCGGCUUAACACCUCUCAGCCUCAGCUUUCUUUCCAGUAAAAUAAGCGCCCUCAUAUCUACCUUAUGGGGUCCAUGAAAGCAUGACAUCAAUUGAGCAGGCGAAUCAGUGAACCUGCAGAAGCAACAAACACAGCUACCAUUUGUUGGGGACGUAACACAUUUGAGGCUCUGUGCAGACAUUUGAAAGACAUGGCUGUGUCACUUCCUCUGUCUAAUUUCUCUUCAUCUUCUCCCUCUCUUUUUAUUUCCUGAAGCUAGAAAUACGAUGGCGAGUUUAAAACUUUGUUCUUUCAUUCAACAAACAUUUUUUGAGCAACUCCUGUGUGCUAGUCAUGGUUCUUUGUUCUUAAGACACAGCUCCAAACAAGACAGACCAGAUCUAUAUUCUCAGAUAUUAUAGUGAAGGGAGACUGAAAACAAUGGGUAAGCAAAUACAUAUGCUAGGUAAUUUCGGACCGAUCAAGGUACUAAAACAACAACAACAAAAACAAGGUGUCACGAAGAGACAGAGACAGCUGGGAUGGGUGGGAAGAUAAUGAAUGAAGGUUAUUUUAAUUAAUUGAUUGAUUGAUUGGUUGACUUUUAAAUCUUAUUGGAGUACAACUGACUUAAAAUGUUGUGUUACUUUUAGGUGUAUAGCAAAGUGAAUCAGUUUACAUAUCCAUAUAUCCAUUCUUUUCAGAUUCUUUUCCCAUGUAAGUUAUUACAGAAUAUUGAGUAUAUUUGGCUGUGCUAUACAGUAGGUCCUUACAACUUAUAUAUUGUAUGUAUAGUAGUAUGCAUAUGUUAAUCCCAAGCUCCUAAUUUAGCCCCCCCCCCCCAAUGUUUCCUCUUUGGUAACCAUUUGGUUUUGAGAUCUUUGAGUCUGUGUCUGUCUUGUAAAUAAGUUCUUUUCUAUCACUUUUUAUUACAUUCCACAUAUAAGUGAUAUCGUAUGCUGUUUGUCUUUCUGACAUACUUCACUUACUAUGAGAAUCUCUAGUUGCAUCCAUGUUGUUGGAAAUGCCAUUCAUUUGUUCUUUUUUAUGGCUGAGUAAUAUUCCUGUGUAUAUAUGUACCACCUCUGAAUGAUGGCUAUUUUAGAAAGGGUGAUGAGAAAGUGUGUGACAUUAGAAAAGAAACUUGAAGUGAGGAAUGAGCAAUGGGAAAAGGUAGGAAAAGUGAGCUGUGGGCAGAGUGUAUGCAAGUAAAAUGAACUUAAUGUGUUUGAAGAGCAAAGAAGUCAGAAUUCCAAGUGGUUAGCAAAUGAGAGAAUGCAGGAGGUGAAGAAGGAGAGACUGGGUUUUCUAGAAGGGCAGGAAGUUUGACUUUAUUCUAAAUGUGAUGGAGGGUUUUGCACAUUGGAAUGAUGUCCUCUGAUUUAUGUUUUAUAAGGAAAAUUUAUUCUAUUGUUUGAAGAUGACUCGAGGGGUUAAAAUGACCAGGAGGCAUGAUAAGGAAAGAGUGAGAAGGCCAAGGCAAAAUCCAAAUGAGUGAUGACUGUGGUUUGGCCAAAGGUUUUUGCCAUUGGGGUAGAGAGAAGAUGGCUUUUGGAUAAGUUUGGGAGAUGAGCUGAUUAGACCCACAUGGAUAGAACUUGGGAAAUAAAAGAAAGGGAAAAUCAAGGAUGACUUCUAGGCUUGGGCUGAGCACUUGUUUGUUGGAAAAUCUAGGACUCCCUUAACUGCCCCACUGUGUGUUUUAAGAGGAAGCAAUUGCUCGUGUUAUACAAGAUGAGCUCUUAAGUCUGCAUGUGUGAUAUUCAGUGGGACCAAGACCGGGCUAGAGAUACAGUUGAACUGGAGAAAAGAUGUUGAUGUUUCCUGAAUCUUUGGGUUGUGUUCUUUCAGUAUACUGGUGGUGGAUUACUUUGUAACUUUUGCUUCAGUUUUCCUCCAACUGCUCCGGUUUCCACCCCCACUCUCCGCUCCCACUUCUGCUGCUUCCUCUUCACUUCAGCAGUGCAAGAACCACCUUGCAGGGCACGGCAAGUUCAACAGACUUGGCACCUGGGCCCUGGUGGAUGAGUUCUACCCUUUAGGCAGUGUGGCCUCCUGGCCUGCCAAAUCUGGAAUGCUUUCCUGGCUGCCUAUGCUGCUCCGGCACAGGGCUUCGGGGCUGGAGCAGAGCAGGACAGACUCCUACCCAUGCCUCUUUUGGUUAGGGUAUGAGGGGGAAGGGCCUGCAGCCCUGGGUGGUUCAUGAUGCCGAAACCCCAGGACUGCUGCUUGGGGCUGACUCUGGGAGUUGGUGUAGACAGUAGCUAGGCUCUGAGGCAUUUUGACAGCAAUUUUCAAGAGAGUCCCUUACCUUCCCUGAACUCCAAUUCUCUCAUCCAUAAAGAUGGGAUAGUAAUAACGAUUAAAGAUAGGACGGUGAUAACAAUUGUUUUGAGUUAUUGUAAUUAUUGACCACUUUUUUGGUGUCUUUUUAGGGUUGUACCCGCGGCAUAUGAAAGUUCCCAGGCUAGGGGUCAAAUCAGGGCUGUAGCUGUUGGCCUACACCACAACUACAGCAAUGCCAGAUCUGAGCCGUGUCUGCAAUGUACACCACAGCUCACAGCAAUGCCAGAUCCUUAACCCACUAAGUGAGGCCAGGGAUCAAAGCCACGUCAUUAUAGUUAUCCUGGAUACCAGUAGGGUUUGUUAACCACUGAGACAUGGUGAGAAUUCCUGAUUAUUGACAAUUUGAGAGGCAGUAAAGAGCCAAGGGACAUUUGGCUUGGAGUCUAGAGGCAGGAAAAGACCUCCAUUCUUUUCCAUAUGGAUCCUGACAUUGGAACGUGUUUCUUAACCAAUCUGUGCCUCAGUUUCCUUAUCUCCUCUAAAAGAAUAAUAAUGGUGCCUACCUCAAAUGGCUAUCCCGAGAUUUAAUUUCUUGGAAAGUGCUUCCAACUGUGACUGGCAUUUGACUAUAGCACCUAAAAAUAGUGUUUGACAAGAGGCACUUGAUGCUUGUCUGGUAGGAAAAAAAUGAUGUCUAGAAAAAGUGCAGAAAUAGCAUUAAAAAUUAUUGUUUUAAAUUUUGUUAUAUCCUUCAUUUGCAUUACUGCUUCUGUUUUCCAGAAAUAACUACAGUUUCAGUACAUGAAUCUCUGGGAUUUAAAUGAGAGGAUGACAUGCUCAGAUGCCUAUGAGGGGUGAGAGCAGGUAACACAAAUAAGUAAGGGAAGUAGGCUCGGGGGAUAGACCAGGGCGCAUAUGGUCUCAUCUGUCUUAACAGGUUACAUGGCUUAGCAGUGGUGUCACACGAAAGUUCUUUAAGAGAAGCUGGAAAUCUGGAAUUUUUAGAUAAAAUUUCCAGGUUUAUAAACAUGGGUGGUUAGACCAAAGUGCUGGGAAAAACAAAAAACAAAACAAAACAAAACAAGACAAAACAAACCUUGCUGGCUAAAGAGACAUCUGAUCCAUGGGGUAGGUCUGGCCAUGGGCCACCAGUUUAGUUACAUGGAUCUAGAUAACUGUGGAUCAGUUUGUGAAAUCAGCUGCAAGUGGGAUCCGGGAAGGUACAUUUAAAUGAGAGGAUGUUUUCAUAUGGAAAGCUACAGUGGGGGCUGCUCCGGAGCUUCCUCUGGAGUAGGAAACGGGGUUGGGAGUGAUGGGGAGGAUGCCGAAAGAUGAAGCAUGUGAUCCAGAUGGCCUGGGCAUACUUCAAAACCCGAUGUAGGGCUGGCCUCAGUGCCAUAGAUGUCUGUGUUUUGAACAUACAGGUUGUUUUUACUUCCUUGGCAGUCAGGUGAUACGGAGGCAGUAUUGUUCAAUUCACUGCUUCCUGGGGCCUGAUUGCACCUGCUGUGCAUAGCUAUGGCAUCACUCAUGGUUAGGCAACUGCUUGCCUUUGUCCUGAGGCUCCUGUGGGUCCCACCUGAUGCAGGUGUUUUGGAGGGAGCAUACACAGGUAGACUGCUUGGAUUGGAUCCUAUAACCCAGUCCACUAACCUGAUCUAUAGAGCAGGUGCCCAGAGAGUGGGGCUGAACUUCACUUUCAAUGACCUGGACUAUCACACAGCUAUUUGGUUAUGGUUUUCAUAAUUCAGCAAAGAUGACUUAAGGCUUUAUGGUGUUAUAGAGUGCUCUGGCAUCCAUGGCAAAGCCUAAAAUCAGGUGGAAGAUAAAACAUUAUAAUUAUUAUUCAUAUUCAAAGUAAAACUCAAACACCUAAUGCUAUUUAAAAGUUAUAGGACAGUACUAGGCAAUCAGUGGUUAUUAACAAGGGUUGUUUAGCGAUAUCUGGAGACAUUAUAGUUGUUAUAACUGAGUGAGAGGUUUGCUGCUGGCAUAUAGUGGGUGGACGCCAUGGAUGCUUCAAAACAUCCUGCAAUGCCCAGGACAGUCCCCCACCACAAAAAAUUAUCGGGGCUCACAUGUCGAUAGUGACAAGGCUGAGAAACCUGUAAUAAAUUGAAAGAAAAAAAAUUCAUAUGAGAAGGUAACUUUAGAAAUAAAAUUAGGGGCAUAAAUUAAAGGCUGCCAUGCACUGGGUUUAAGAUGUGUAUAUAUGCGUGCUUUUAGCAAAUUGAUUUCUUCAUGUACUCAUGGCUGAAUUAAAUCAAUUAUAUAUAAAGCGACCUACUUCCUCCUAUCACAAGAAACUAUUUUCACUAUAAAGGAGCUUAGAGCUGCACAUAGAAGCCCAAUGCCCACCCCCAAAGCCAAAUAUGCUAAUAUCUAGAGCAAUUAUCAUACAAGCAGGUAGAACCCAAAGAGAAAAAACUAGGGUCCUUGAUCCUUCCAAGUGGAGCCAUCACUUGUGUCCUCUCCACCGAUUGCUCCCAGUAGGUGGUCAAGUUCAUUGCCUUUGACAUCUUGCUUUGCUGACAGAUGCUUUCAAUACGAAGGCAAUUCAAAAGCAAAUGAAUAGAGGCUGAGGAGUUCAUGCAAUAGACCUGCUGUGGGUUCAUCACCCACGUCCAGUGCAAUACUUCCUAAGAGGUACCCCUUGAAUGGAAGACACAGGUCAUUUUUUCCAGAGGACAGGCUCUUCCUUCAAGUUCAGACUGAUCUGUUGAGGACAGUAGACAACAGAAAGUGGCUGGCAGAGUUGGGAUAUUGAGACCACACCCUGAAUUUUGUGAAACAUUUGAUAGAAAAGAAGAGAGGCGUUCCUGCUGUGGCUCAGUGGUUAAGAAACCAACCAGUAUCUAUGAGGUUGAUGGAUCCCUGGUCCUGGUCAGUGGGUUAAGGAUCUCUCAUUGCCGUGAGCUGUGGUUUAGGUCACAGACUUGGCUCAGAUCUGGCUGUUGCUGUGGCUGUGACUGUGGCCAGCAGCUGCAGCUCUGAUUCAGCACCUAGCCUGGGAACUUCCCUAUGCCAU
rnacentral:lncRNA from 1 species